rnacentral:rRNA from 1 species
AUUGAACGCUGGCGGCAUGCUUUACACAUGCAAGUCGAACGGUAACGCGGGGGCAACCCUGGCGACGAGUGGCGAACGGGUGAGUAAUACAUCGGAACAUGUCCUGGAGUGGGGGAUAGCUCGGCGAAAGCCGGAUUAAUACCGCAUACGCUCUGAGGAGGAAAGCGGGGGACCUGGUGACGGGCCUCGCGCUGCGGGAGUGGCCGAUGUCGGAUUAGCUAGUUGGUGAGGUAAAGGCUCACCAAGGCGACGAUCCGUAGCUGGUCUGAGAGGAUGAUCAGCCACACUGGGACUGAGACACGGCCCAGACUCCUACGGGAGGCAGCAGUGGGGAAUUUUGGACAAUGGGGGCAACCCUGAUCCAGCCAUGCCGCGUGAGUGAAGAAGGCC